rnacentral:rRNA from 1 species
GAUGAACGCUGGCGGCGUGCCUAAUACAUGCAAGUCGAGCGAACAGACGAGGAGCUUGCUCCUCUGACGUUAGCGGCGGACGGGUGAGUAACACGUGGAUAACCUACCUAUAAGACUGGGAUAACUUCGGGAAACCGGAGCUAAUACCGGAUAAUAUAUUGAACCGCAUGGUUCAAUAGUGAAAGACGGUUUUGCUGUCACUUAUAGAUGGAUCCGCGCCGCAUUAGCUAGUUGGUAAGGUAACGGCUUACCAAGGCAACGAUGCGUAGCCGACCUGAGAGGGUGAUCGGCCACACUGGAACUGAGACACGGUCCAGACUCCUACGGGAGGCAGCAGUAGGGAAUCUUCCGCAAUGGGCGAAAGCCUGACGGAGCAACGCCGCGUGAAUGAUGAAGGUCUUCGGAUCGUAAAACUCUGUUAUUAGGGAAGAACAAAUGUGUAAGUAACUAUGCACGUCUUGACGGUACCUAAUCAGAAAGCCACGGCUAACCACGUG